UACGAAGGGGGCUAGCGUUGCUCGGAAUUAUUGGGCGUAAAGGGCGCGUAGGCGGCCUGGCAAGUGGAAGGUGAAAUCCCUCGGCUUAACCGAGGAACUGCCUUCCAAACUGCUUGGCUUGAGUCCGGGAGAGGUGAGUGGAAUUCCCAGUGUAGCGGUGAAAUGCGUAGAUAUUGGGAGGAACACCAGUGGCGAAGGCGGCUCACUGGACCGGAACUGACGCUGAUGCGUGAAAGCGUGGGGAGCAAACGGG
rnacentral:rRNA from 1 species